rnacentral:lncRNA from 1 species
AAGAAGAACCAAAGUGCCAUCUUCACCUGCUAUUCGUCCCAACAAAGGGAAUAAUGUCACUCCAAUGUCCAACAAGUCUGCAAUGGAGAUUUCUGAUAGAAAGAGAUCAACUCCAAAAUCAAGUCAUAAGUUUAUCAACUCCACCCCUGCAAAAGAAAUCAGUAGAUUAACUUCCACCAUUAUUAGAAAGAUAGGUGGUUCAAGAAUUGCUUCCAAUUCUAAACCAUCUAAAGAAUUCCCCACGCCUUUAAGGACUUCAAACAUGGUAUCAUUUUUUCUCUGCAACUUUGUCAUUGUGUUAUUCUAGUUCUUGCCAUGGAUGAUAAGUUGCGGUUUUUUUUUUCUAUGUUCUGCAGGCCUCUACAAGUGGAAGACCAAAGCAGUCCUUAGCCACUCCAUGGUUGGAAAAUAGAAGGUAUCAGACAUAUAUAUGACUAAGAAAUAUGCUAGUUAAAUUGAAACUACUAAGAAAUGUUUCCACAUGUAUGCAUUACAGUGCUAGAAUGCCCUUUAAUUCCUCAGCCAGUGUGAGCAAAACAUCUCGUGGAAAAUGGAACCUUCUUCCAACAGAGUAAGGAACUUCCUUUUAUUUAAUGUUUCACUACUGUGAACCAGAAAAGAAGUAAAAAAUUUUCAUAGUGAUCAAGAAUAUUGUAAGAAACUAUGUUUUUAUGAAUUUUUUGAAGUAUUAGAAUGGCACGUCCAUGUCGGAUGCAAAUCCAGAUAUAGGGAUGACCAUUGAUAAACUAGAAAAUUUUGAACAUGCCCUUGUCAGUUACAUAUCUUACCCGACACUUGCAUCCGAAUAACAUAUGUAAGUGUUAACAAUGGUGCCUGCAGGAAAAAAUCCAAGUACCCUGCUAUAUUUGCACCUUUCAGUUUGAGAACUGAAGAGAGAGCUGCAAGAAGAAAACAGGCAUGGCUCUCAAUACAACCACCAGUUUAACCUUUGUGUUGUUACCAUAUUUAUGUAUUCACUCACUCAAAUUUACUUCAUAUUUCCCUUUUCAGAGGCUUGAAGAGAAAUUCAAUGCAAGUCAAGAACAAAAAGUAGAGCAGCAAACGACACUCAAGGUAACUUGUGUGCUUAAAUCCUGAACGGAGCAUCAUUUGUUCUAUCUUUCAUAGGAUCAAAAAUCAAAACCACCUUGUCCUGUUCUAUAGAGCUAAUUAAACAGGGGUUCUGUAUUAUAUUUUUCUCUCUAUAUAAACAUUUGCAGAAAAAAGCUGAAACAGAACUGAAGAAACUACGUCAAGGCUAGACCAAUUCCAGAUUUUUUUAAAGAAAGAAGAACAAUUAAAGAUGAAAUGCAAAAGGUAUACAAAUCUAGUUUUAUCUCUGAUGAUACUAAAAAUACACUUACACUUGAAUUCGAGUAUAUUAUAUAGUUUCUCGUCUUCAUCUUCAUAGGUUCCAUUGACGCGACCAGAAUCAGCUGGCGUAGGAAGAAAAUCCACUCCCAGGAAAGCAAAUAAUCAUUU